rfam:Pyronema omphalodes CBS 100304, CBS100304, WGS project CATG01000000 data, contig: Pcon_v1_contig547
GCGCUAAUAGCUCAGUUGGGAGAGCGUCAGACUGAAGUCAAAUCGGUCCUAUCCACAUCCGGGGUAAUCUGAAGGUCACCCGUUCAAUCCGGGUUUGGCGCA